rnacentral:rRNA from 1 species
AGGGUUUGAUUAUGGCUCAGGAUGAACGCUAGCUACAGGCUUAACACAUGCAAGUCGAGGGGCAUCGGGAAGAAAGCUUGCUUUCUUUGCCGGCGACCGGCGCACGGGUGAGUAACACGUAUCCAACCUGCCCUUUACUCGGGGAUAGCCUUUCGAAAGAAAGAUUAAUACCCGAUAGCAUAAUGAUUCCGCAUGGUUUCAUUAUUAAAGGAUUCCGGUAAAGGAUGGGGAUGCGUUCCAUUAGGUUGUUGGUGAGGUAACGGCUCACCAAGCCUUCGAUGGAUAGGGGUUCUGAGAGGAAGGUCCCCCACAUUGGAACUGAGACACGGUCCAA